rnacentral:rRNA from 1 species
AUCGAUGAAGAACGCAGCGAAAUGCGAUAAGUAAUGUGAAUUGCAGAAUUCAGUGAAUCAUCGAAUCUUUGAACGCACCUUGCGCCCUUUGGUAUUCCGAAGGGCAUGCCUGUUUGAGUGUCAUUAAAUUCUCAACCCAAAAAGCUUUUGCUAGCUCUUUUGUGGCUUGGAUGUGGGGGUUUUUUGCUGGCUUCCUUCAGUGGAUGGUCUGCUCCCCUUAAAUGCAUUAGUGGGAUCUCUUGUGGACCGUCACUUGGUGUGAUAAUUAUCUAUGCCAGUUGACUUUGAAGCAAAACUUAUGGGAACCCGCUCAUAACCGUCUUCGGACAACUUUUGACAUUUUGACCUCAAAUCAGGUAGGACUACCCGCUGAACUUAAGCAUAUCAAUAAGCGGAGGAAAAGAAACUAACAAGGAUUCCCCUAGUAACUGCGAGUGAAGCGGGAAAAGCUCAAAUUUAAAAUCUGGCGGUCCCUGUGGCCGUCCGAGUUGUAAUUUAGAGAAGUGUUAUCCGCGCUGGACCGUGUACAAGUCUCCUGGAAUGGAGCGUCAUAGAGGGUGAGAAUCCCGUCUUUGACACGGAUCACCAGGGCUUAUGUGAUGCGCUCUCGAAGAGUCGAGUUGUUUGGGAAUGCAGCUCAAAAUGGGUGGUAAAUUCCAUCUAAAGCUAAAUAUUGGCGAGAGACCGAUAGCGAACAAGUACCGUGAGGGAAAGAUGAAAAGAACUUUGAAAAGAGAGUUAAACAGUACGUGAAAUUGUUGAAAGGGAAACGCUUGAAGUCAGUCGCGUCGUCCAGGGAUCAACCUUGCAUCAUUUGCUGGGUGUACUUCCUGGUUGACGGGUCAGCAUCGAUUUCGACCGUCGGAAAAAGGUCAAGGGAAUGUGGCAUCUUCGGAUGUGUUAUAGCCCUUGGUUCGCAUACGACGGUUGGGAUCGAGGAACUCAGCACGCCGCAAGGCCGGGGUUCGCCCACGUACGUGCUUAGGAUGCUGGCAUAAUGGCUUUAAUCGACCCGUCUUGAAACACGG